UUUGAAACUGGAGGAAAUCGGUCCUCUUGCCCCCGAAACGUAGGAAGGCAGGCGACAGUCCCCGGGCCAGGGUUACCAGCCUUUUGGAGCUGCAAAGAGAAGAGAGAGAGGGAAGAGGAAUUAGAAAACUGAUGCGUAAAAAGGAAGCCUAGAAUGCCAGAGGCCGAGAGCCUUGUGCCCGUCAGUCCUGGGUACCAUUGGAGAACGUCGGGAGCGGAGGCCAGGAACCACGAGGAGUGGGAAUUCCGCGCGCUCCUGCUCCCCACGCGGCGCUGGGCUCCGGCUGCUUCGCUUCCUUCUUCCUGCAAGUCAGUCCCGCGUAACUUUGUCGGGACUUUGGCCAGACUGAGCGGGGCCGUCCAAUAUUAUCUGCGCUAACGCUGCUGGGCUCCCAGGGUUGCCAGUUCCCAUGGGGCUGUGACUUCAACUCCCAGGUAUAGUGGAGGAUCCUUUUCAAACGGGAAUGUAAAAUUACCAGCGGGAUGCCGUGUCUUUCUUUUAUUUUUUGUUAAAAAGGAGACACUUCGACUACUCUGACGGACCAGAGGGGCAGCAGCGUCCGGUGCCCAAAGACUCGGCUCUGCUGCAGCCAAGCGCGCUUUCCUGUGGAGGCUUCCGAACGUCCCGCUUCCGACUGCAGGAUUCCGGCACUCUGACUCUGCUUCCCGAUCUUCCUGUAAGGCUUUAGCAACAGGAGAAACGUAAGCAGCCAAUUUUGCAAUUGCGGCACUUCAAGGCGAAUGGAACUUUGGAUGCACGUAUGCAUGGGAGCUCCAGCAAGCCAGUGCAUGCUGUCCAUCACGAACAUGUCAUGUUUAUUUCAAGAAACGCGCGCCUAUUGCCAUACACACAUUCGCACUGCGUAGGGAGACACGCAUUCGCAUGGAUACUCUCCUUGGCCACGCGAGCACGCUUUCUAAAAGAAAGAACAAGCAGCCCUGCACUGUUUUCCCUCACCCGGGCAGCGGAGACAUUGACAAGGAUCGAGACGGCUCCGCAGCUGUCUGGGAACGUCCUCCCGCCCGGGAUGUUUCAUUCCACGUGGAAGCAGCACUCCACGUGUCUCAGUCCCCUGAAGCUCCCCGGAGAUCCGGCGGAUUCUCCCUCAGAGUGUUUUGGUGCUGGUGAAGCGAACUCACGCCCCUGGCCAGCCUUUUCUGCGACUGGUGCCAAGAGUCCUCGUUCACCAGCGCCGCCCCUUUAAGAGAUUUAGACUGACUGCAGACAUUUUGUAACUUUUUAAAGGGGGCAAAGGGCAGUUCCCAGAAGGAAAACAGAGGUUGACCCGUUGAAAGAACCCUCUCUUGAUCCCCUGCUGUUCCUGUGGGAGAUGGAACUUAACCCGCGCGGCCCUGUGACCACACCAGAAGAGACCGAGAUCCCCGGGAGUGGCCAAGGACCUCUGCCCCUGUGCCGGGGGGGACCAAGCCUGAGACCGCUUUCUUUGCUCCUGGGUGGGAUUUCCCCAGAGCAAAGGACAAACAAAUCUUUAGCCAGUUACAACCGGGACUGAAAGUACCACUGUCUAUGCCAUUUAUCUUGGCAGCAGCUCUACCCACCCACCUACUUGAGGGCCACCUCUCCAGUUGUCUCCUAUCGGGAGAAAAGGAUGCAGGCUUUUGUUUCUUCUUCCCAGAGGAAGGGAAAGGAGUCUACAUUUUCAUUCCUACCCAAUUAACCCCAGUUAAAAAAAAAAAAAGCAAAGCAACUGGGAGAGAUACCCUUGGGGAACACCUUGAGGAAAGAGGUAGCAGUAUGAUCCCUCAUCUGCACCUCUAGAAACUGCAGAAGCUACUUAACAAAGAUACCUUCCAGUUCAGCUUUACCAGACAACCAGGAAAAGGUGAAGAGGCCAGCACUGUGCAGGCAAUGAGCCUGCCAACUCCGAGACUGUAGCCUGAUGGAGCCCACCACUGUGGAGAAGGGCAGCAGGCCUGCAUGAUGAGUGGGAAAGGAAGGGAAGCCUUGGCUGUGUCUGGAGAAAGGUUUGCCCAUCAUGGACUCAUAAACUCAUCUAUCCCAUCGUUCUACUUCCUUCUGCCUCAACAGCCUCAUUCCUGGCUCUGGGUCCCACCAGCAUAUCAAAGCUCAGAACAACCAUCAGCCCAGCUUCAAAUGACUUUUCAGGCAUUUUUUUACCCAAAGUAAAGGAAGGAGGUGUCUGCAUCCAUAUAUGCUGACUCUUCCGGAAGAACUGAUAUUAUGAACAAAUAAUUCUUGAAGAGAAUAAGGGCUUAAGCUUGAAUUUUGAAUUUCUCUGUGCAUAUUCCACAUCACCACUCCCACUAAAGCCCAGAACCCCUAAUUGGGUUGCUUCUCUUUACUUAUACUUACUUGACAAAAUAUCCCCAUGGUAGGCUUGUUGCUUGCUUGCUUGCUUCCUUCCUUCCUUCCUUCCUUCUCUUCCAUCCUCAUCCACCCUCAGGAUCAGGUAUUCCCUGGAUUCCAGGAUGGGUGACAAUUAGUUAAUCUGAUAAACUCGUUUUACUAAUGUGCUAAUUACUAGGGGAAGGCUGUAGGAGCUCCUCAGGGCCUUCCCUCUGGUUCCUAAGCCACCUGUACACUGUAACAAGGACCUUCUGGCAACACUAAAUUAUUAUUUGAUCUUUCUGCUGUGUUCUAUUAACCACUAUACCCCAGCUUCCAUGCAAGCUCAAAGGACUACAGCUGCAUAGGUGGGGACAGAUGUGACUUCUGAAAGGCUGAGAUGAUGCCGAAUUUGCUUCUGUGUACCUACCAUAAAACACUUACUUGUGUUGAAACCAGACACUGGAGAAAUGUGGAGAGAGAUGGUCAAGAAAGACUUUGGAUAGUGGACUAGAAAAAAGUCCUCCAAUUGGAUAUACAUGGAAAUAUUGGAUAUACGUGAAAACCACCUCAAUCCUAUUCCUCGAAAUCCCCAGAUCUUGGGAUUCUAGAGACUGUGGAGAGAACCUCUUCUAUGUGAAAUGAUUCUCUCUUUCCUAGCUUGAGCUGAGAUCUUACUUGGCUCCCCACUGAAGAGCUCAUUCAUUCUAGUGUAUUCUUUGGAAUACUCUAAUCUGUAGAAUUUCUCCAAUUUCCAUAUGCUGUUUUACUUGGAUAAAAACAUUCAUGAACA